UACGUAGGGUGCAAGCGUUAAUCGGAAUUACUGGGCGUAAAGCGUGCGCAGGCGGCUUUGCAAGACAGAUGUGAAAUCCCCGGGCUUAACCUGGGAACUGCAUUUGUGACUGCAUGGCUGGAGUGCGGCAGAGGGGGAUGGAAUUCCGCGUGUAGCAGUGAAAUGCGUAGAUAUGCGGAGGAACACCGAUGGCGAAGGCAAUCCCCUGGGCCUGCACUGACGCUCAUGCACGAAAGCGUGGGGAGCGAACAGGAUUGAGAAACC
rnacentral:rRNA from 1 species